CAGUAGCCGCGGAAUACAGAGGGUGCGAGCGUUAAUCGGAUUUACUGGGCGUAAAGCGUGCGUAGGCGGCUUCUUAAGUCGGAUGUGAAAUCCCUGAGCUUAACUUAGGAAUUGCAUUCGAUACUGGGAAGCUAGAGUAUGGGAGAGGAUGGUAGAAUUCCAGGUGUAGCGGUGAAAUGCGUAGAGAUCUGGAGGAAUACCGAUGGCGAAGGCAGCCAUCUGGCCUAAUACUGACGCUGAGGUACGAAAGCAUGGGGAGCAAACAGGAUUAGAUACCCCAGUAGUCCCUGUCUCUUAUACC
rnacentral:rRNA from 1 species